GGAAAGCGGUAACUAUCCGCCUCGUGAACGUGAAUGUUUGGUGCUAAAAGUUAUCUGGUUUGUGAAUAUGUACAUGAGUACACUUUGAUAAUUUCAUCGAAAGAAUGGUUCUUCGGUAAAGGGAGAAACUAGGAAAGCUUCCAAGCACAUGUUGGACAAGAAUUCCAAAUCGAGCAGAAACUUAACGAUCUAAUAAGUGCCUGAAGCCGCGAGGCCGCUGCCUAGCUGACGACCUUGAAACCUUUUACUGACACCUUCUUGACGUAGAACAUCUGCAAUUAUUCCCGGAAAACAUGGCACGCAAGUUUGGGGUAAUACCGAGUGAAGCAUCGUAACGAUCAGAUGUUAACGGUUAUAUUCGAAAGAACAGCAGGCGUCAGGCCUCAAGUUAAACGACGUUGUUUCAGGCAAUCUCACAGUUGUUGUAUAGGAAGGAAAACAGUUCACGACGCAUCAGUAAUCCGGUAGUCGUAGGAAGAUGUACAGUUUUAUGAGUAAGUUUAUUUUUGUAUUUCAAUUUACAUUUAGUUGUGAAAGUUGAAAUUAGUUUUUGACAGAUUUGGAAACCGACUCUAAUCGUACAAAACAAUCGAACAAUCCUACUGAUACUGUGAAUCCUCCCAGACCAGACCUAGAACAUAUCACUGAGCAUACAAAACUUUACUCCAAGACCUACCAGAUCAUGACCAAUCUAAAUGAAUAUGAAUGUCACUCUGUAUUUAAAAUAACUGCAUAAUACGAUGAUCUGAUGAAGCAUCUGUUUCUAUUUAUUUCAAUGUAUUUAUAUUUAUCCAUGUAUGGAGAGAAAGAAGAAAAACCUUCACAGAAACCCGAACGCGGACGAAAUGUGCAAC